rnacentral:rRNA from 1 species
GAUGAACGCUGGCGGCGUGCCUAAUACAUGCAAGUCGAACGCUGGAGCUCUAGCUUGCUAGAUCGAAGGAGUGGCGAACGGGUGAGUAAUACAUAAGCAACCUACCCACGAAGACUGGGAUAAUCUCUGGAAACGGGGACUAAUACCGGAUAGGUAAUCGGAAGGCAUCUUCUGGUUAUUAAAGGUUAAAAACACUGGUGGAUGGGCUUAUGGGGCAUUAGUUAGUUGGUGAGGUAGCGGCCCACCAAGACGAGGAUGCGUAGCCGGCCUGAGAGGGGGAACCGCCACAGUGGGACUGGGACACGGCCCAGACACCUACGGGAGGCAGCAGUAGGGGAUUUUGGGCAAUGGGAGCAAGCCUGACCGAGCGACGCCGCGUGAGUGAAGACGGCGUGCGGGUUGUAAAGCUCUGUUGUAAGGGAAGAACGGUAGAUAGAGAAUAUCUAAGUGACGGUACCUUACCAGAAAGCCACGGCUAACUACGUG